rnacentral:rRNA from 1 species
CAGCUCUGUAAGCUGUUGAUGGUUACUUCGCUUAUUAUUUGGGACGAAGCACUUAUGGCACACAGGAAGUGCUUCGAGGCUGUAGACAGGUCUCUGCGUGACAUUCUUUCCGCGAGUAAUCCAGAUCUUGCGGAUAUACCGUUUGGUGGAAUAGUGAUGGUCUUGGGUGGUGACCUUAGACAGAUCUUGCCGGUUGUUGAGGGAGGCACUAGGCCUCAGAUCGUUGAUGCGGCAAUCACUAAUUCUCCGUUGUGGCGGUCUGUUCAUAAAUUAACGUUGUCGGUUAACAUGCGCUUGGCUGUACCCGAUGCGGAUAUGCGGGUGCAGGAAAGUGUUGCCUUAUUUAGCAAGUGGGUGCUGGAUCUAGGUGAGGGCAAGUUGCCUGUCAAGAGGCAAGAUGAUGAGGGUGAGGCUUCUUGGAUAGAAUUACCGGACGACCUCUUGGUUUGUACGUCCGGUGAU